AUCCAGCCGACGAGUCCCGAAUAGGACGAAACACACGUUGUAGAU
rnacentral:hammerhead_ribozyme from 1 species